rnacentral:rRNA from 1 species
AACGAACGCUGGCGGCAUGCCUAACACAUGCAAGUCGAACGAUGCUUUCGGGCAUAGUGGCGCACGGGUGCGUAACGCGUGGGAAUCUGCCCUUUGGUUCGGAAUAACAGCGAGAAAUUGCUGCUAAUACCGGAUGAUGACGUUAAGUCCAAAGAUUUAUCGCCAGAGGAUGAGCCCGCGUAGGAUUAGCUGGUUGGUGUGGUAAAGGCGCACCAAGGCGACGAUCCUUAGCUGGUCUGAGAGGAUGAUCAGCCACACUGGGACUGAGACACGGCCCAGACUCCUACGGGAGGCAGCAGUGGGGAAUAUUGGACAAUGGGCGCAAGCCUGAUCCAGCAAUGCCGCGUGAGUGAUGAAGGCCUUAGGGUUGUAAAGCUCUUUUACCCGUGAUGAUAAUGACAGUAGCGGGAGAAUAAGCCCCGGCUAACUCUGUGCCAGCAGCCGCCGUAA